CGGAGCUGGAGGGGGAGGAGGGGAGGAACCUGAUCCUCGGUAGCGAAGGGCUGGAGGCAAACACCGAGCUCCCCCUGAGCCGCCUGGGAGCAGGGAGGGUUCUGCUACCCUGAGGGGCCCUCCCCGCGGGGCAGAGGGGUUUCCUCAGCAGUGCCCCGGAGCAGGGACCGCGCCAGCCAGCAGAAACAGCUAGUUGUUGUCUGCAGUGAAGAAUAAUUGGAAGCAUGGUGCCUGUUUCUUUUCCUGUGGGAGGAAGUCACAGCAUCUACUUCUGAAUCUGUGCUUGCCUUGAGGAAAAACGGCAUGGCACAGGAAUGUGGACGCUUUCAACCAGAGGAUUCUGUACGACGGUGUCGGCACACACUCAUCCUCGUCUACGGCCAAACGUUGGUUUCUCAUUUCUAGAAGAUGAAAGAUGUGAUGACUCAGGAAAAACUUGCUGCUCGAGAUGUGAGUCUUCAGAUGUUCCUGCCGCCAUAUCUGACAGCUGCUGCCAAGAUUCCCUGGUGGGAUGGACUCUUAUACCUCAACAACCAGAAGCCCAAGUAAACUCUUCUAUAAAUUGAAUGACUCAUGCUUAAAAAAAAAAACAAAAAACAAACUAUCUUUAUUUUGUGUGCAUUGGUGUUUUGCCUACAUAUAUGUCUGUGUGAGAGUGUCAGAUUCCUUGGAACUGUAGCUACAGAUAGUUGUGAGCCACCAUGUGGGUGCUGGGACUUGAACCCCAGUCCUCUAGAAGAGCAGCUGGUAGGUACUCUUAACCACUGGACCAUCCCUCUAGACCCUGAUCAUGGUGUUUUAACUACAGCAAAAGAAAAGUAAUUAGCACAAUCAGGUUAGCCAGAGGGCACACCUGUGACAGAUUUUUCCUAAGUGCAUUCAUCAGGGGGAGGCCCACCCUGGAUGGGGGCAGCACCCUUCCUUGGGUUUGGGUCUUAGAAAGAAUAAACACAGAGAGGGAGCUGAGCACAAGCCAGCAAGCACAAGCUAAGCAAGCACUGUCCAGUCUUCCUCUGCUUUGACUGAGGAUGUGACGUGUCUAGCUGCUUCAGGUUUCUGCCUCGAAUCCCCUGCAGUCAUAGACUAUAACCUGGAAUUGUGAGCCAAAAGAAAAACAAAAGAAAACAAAAUCCAUUUUCUCCCCAUAUGUUGCUUUUUGGUCAAAGCAUUUGAUCCCAGUAACAGAAAAGAAAUGAGGACAGGCAAGAAGAGGCCAUACCACAGAGCCAGGAGCAGGUUGUAGUGCCAAGUUGCAGAGGCCGGGGAGGAGCAUAGGUGCAGAGCAGCCGCUGUCAGAAUGUUCAGGGAAAAGGAGAAGAGAGGAUGUGUCAGGGAAGUGAGCUGGCUCAGUCCAUAACAGCAUGGUCUUGCUGUCUUUUACAGGGUCUGAAGUCUACCUUAGUGCAGUGGGAGCCACUAACUGUCCUAGUAUGAAGGAAGGAUAUUGAUGUUUUUUGGGCAUGUAAGUGUGUGUGUGUGUGUGUGUGUGUGUGUGUCCCCAUACUCUAGGGACUGAGCCUCCUCACCCAUGUACCACACAGCUUCAGUCCCAGUCCCAUAUUUUGUUUUCAAUCAAACUUUAUACAAAUGUUUCUCAAGAAAAUUAUAAGUUACUUCUUUUAUUUCUCAUUAAUAAUAUUUUG
rnacentral:lncRNA from 1 species